rnacentral:rRNA from 1 species
UACGUAGGGGGCAAGCGUUAUCCGGAUUCACUGGGUUUAAAGGGUGCGUAGGUGGGUUGGUAAGUCCGUGGUGAAAUCUCCGAGCUUAACUCGGAAACUGCCGUGGAUACUAUCAAUCUUGAAUACUGUGGAGGUAAGCGGAAUAUGUCAUGUAGCGGUGAAAUGCUUAGAUAUGACAUAGAACACCGAUAGCGAAGGCAGCUUGCUACACAGUUAUUGACACUGAGGCACGAAAGCGUGGGGAGCAAACAGG